AUUGAACGCUGGCGGCAUGCUUUACACAUGCAAGUCGAACGGUAACAGGCCUUCGGGUGCUGACGAGUGGCGAACGGGUGAGUAAUGCAUCGGAACGUACCCAGAGGUGGGGGAUAACGCAGCGAAAGCUGUGCUAAUACCGCAUGUGAUCUGAGGAUGAAAGCGGGGGACCGAGCAGCAAUGUUUGGCCUCGCGCCUUUGGAGCGGCCGAUGUCGGAUUAGCUAGUUGGUGGGGUAAAGGCCUACCAAGGCGACGAUCCGUAGCUGGCCUGAGAGGACGACCAGCCACAAGUGGACUGAGACACGGCCCCGACUGCUACGGGAGGCAGCGGUGGGGAAUUUUGGACAAUGGGCGCAAGCCUGAUCCAGCAAUGCCGCGUGCGGGAAGAAGGCCUUCGGGUUGUAAACCGCUUUUGGCAGGAACGAAACGGUGUCCGCUAAUACCGGGCGCUAAUGACGGUACCUGCAGAAUAAGCACCGGCUAACUACGUG
rnacentral:rRNA from 1 species